rnacentral:ncRNA from 3 species
ACACACAGUCACUAUCUUCGAA